ACGCUCGACACCUACGGAGGCAGCAGUGGGGAAUAUUGCACAAUGGGGGAAACCCUGAUGCAGCGACGCCGCGUGAAGGAAGAAGUAUUUCGGUAUGUAAACUUCUAUCAGCAGGGAAGAAAAUGACGGUACCUGACUAAGAAGCCCCGGCUAACUACGUGUCAGCAGCCGCGGUAAUCUGAGCGGGCUGGCAAGGC
rnacentral:rRNA from 1 species